GGCCCUCAGCUUCUUGCUUUGCAGCAGAAUGAGGUAAGAUCUAUCUUUCUCUUGCUGUUGUUAAAAACAUUUCAACAGUUAGUUCUUUUUCCCAGAAAACGCUGCAGGUUGGUUCCAGGUUAAAAAGCAAAAAGUACCACGAUUGAAUUUUACACUUGACUAUGCUUUGGCCAGGAUGCAUGAUAAGUUAAAGCAUACUGAGAGACUAUUUUUUUUUAAGAGGGAAAACUUGAUAGAGGAUUGUAUUUCUAGAUUAGAGAGUGGGCACUGUAAUCUUUCUGACAUUGUAAACCUGAAGCUGGCUGCAGGGAAAAUAAACAUUACAACACCCGACACUUAAACAAUUGUACCUACUCGGUUAAGUAACAAAAGCGUGAGGCACCUGGAAUCAGCAGCAUUUGUGCCUAAUGCCAGCAACAAUAUAAAGCAUUCAAGUGACAUUUGAUAAUGAGCAGACAGUGGAGGCAUUACACACGUCUUUAGAAGAAUCAGACUUCCUACCUUGAAAAGACAGAUGGAGGUUUCCACCACUGACCAAGGAUAUUGGACGAUUUUCAUCUCUUCCCUUCCCUCCGAUGACAUGAGGGUGUAUUGUUUUGGUCAUUCAAGGAGCUGAUCUUCACUACCUAGAUGAAAUCAGAUUGCUAUCCAGUGUAAUGAAUUCCCUAAAGAAUGGAAAGACACUUUUCCAGGGGAGAAAUCAGGAUAUCUUGCUUAAUAAAUUACUGCUAAAACUUGGAAAAAAUACAAAAAGAAAAUAAAUGGCUGUAGAUCUUUGUGAAACAGGCCAAGUAUACUUUCAGUAUGUUAUUCGAUAAUUUAUAAAGCAUGUUAAAUCACAUGUCAUACGCUGGGUAAAAUAAUGUGUAUUAUGUUAUUGUACUCAUUCUAGAUUUGCAUUGAAAAGAACAUAUUAUCAGCUUGAAUGUUGCAAAUAAACUAAAACAUAAGCCUUCAGGAUAGCUUGAGGAAUUUAUGUAGUUAGACAGCCUUGGAUUCUGAAUCUUUCUUUAGCCAUGUCCAGUCAUCAGAUAUCUAAAGGUUUGCUAUUGUUUUGUCCUUCACCUACAAAAAAAGAUGUGAUGAUGUUUAUCUGCAACUCUUAUAGCGGAUGGAAGGGUAGCAAAGAUCAAUAGGUUAAUACUUACAAACCACAAUUCAGGUGACAAAAAGUCUGCAGAUGCAUAAAAUAAACAUUAUGCUAAUGAUAGACUAUUGAUCAUAAAAAAAUUACUCUGCUCCAGGGUAACACCUUUCUUUUUCUUUUGUUCUGUGGGUUGUACGUGUGUUAGUCUUAGAUAGAUAGUAAGUAAUAGUUAUAAUUAUCAUUUAAUAACCCCAAGACUGAUGUGAAGGCCAGAGGUCUCAAUAUUCUUUCUACAAGGAUUUUUUUUUAUUACCAAAGUUGUAUACCUGAGACAUGAAUAAAUUAAAACCUUUCACACUUUGUCAGAUAAAGCAAAACAUAUACUAAGAUGACAAUAAACUCUGUUGUUCUAGCUUUUUGCUUAGGAAUCUACUAAAUAAAAUCAUUUUGAAAAUAAUUUAUAUUUUGUGUAGUGUUUUUAACUUUUUCAAAGAAUUUCCUAUUUUUGUAUAUUUAUGUUCAUUUGCUGCAUAUGAGAAUGUGGAUAUGUAGGAAGGUCAGAAAGGAAUUACAAUUCUUCAUUCCAGUUGAUUAUGAUUUUUCUAGUCAUCCAGACUCAUAACUUCAGUUUAAUCUCUAUUUUUUCUCUUUGCUCACGACCUUGAGUCACUUGUCAGUCUUAUAUAUUCCUAUACCAAACUAUCUCUUGCACUGUCAUUGCCACCUGGCUUAGGUAUCAUAUCUUUUCAUCUGUAUCAGUGUCACAAUCUUCAAAUUGGUCCUCCCAUCCCUGGCUUUACCCUUCUUAAUUCAUUCUUCACUUUGAAAAUCUGCUUUGCUACUAUGUCUGCUCAUAACCUUCCAUGAUUCCCUACUGCACCUACACUAAAUACAAAUUCUGUACUCGGAUUUCCCUUUUCAGUCCCAAAUUCUGGUUAAAGAGACACACUUUGGAAUUGGCUUGAAUUGAGUUUAAAUCUUGAUUCUAACCCUUGCUCUUUGUAUAACCUUGCAAAUAUUAUUUAAGAUCUUUGAGCCCAUCAGAAGGUUCAUGUGAGGUAUAAAUUACAUAAUUAAUUAAUUGAUUGAUUGAUCAGACAAAUACUUAUGAAAUGUCUGUUAUGUGCCAGACAUUGUUCUAACACUAGUGAUAAAGCAGUGAACAAGAAUUUCUAGGAAAAUGGACAAUAAUCAAACAGUACACACACAACAUUUUUUAAAAUAAAUUUUUAUUUUAGAUUAUUUUAGAUUUAUAGAAAAAUUAUUAACUACAGAGAGCUUUUUUAUACCUAACUUUCCCUAUUACUGACAUCUUACAUAUUAAUAUAUUAUAAACCUUAAAUUCAUAGUUUAUUGAAAUUUCCUUAGUUUUUACCUAGUGUCCCAGAAUUCCAUCCAAG